CCUACGGGUGGCAGCAGUGGGGGAUAUUGCACAAUGGGGGAAACCCUGAUGCAGCGACGCCGCGUGAGUGAAGAAGUAUUUCGGUAUGUAAAGCUCUAUCAGCAGGGAAGAAAAUGACAGUACCUGACCAAGAAGCCCCGGCUAACUACGUGCCAGCAGCCGCGGUAAUACGUAGGGGGCAAGCGUUAUCCGGAUUUACUGGGUGUAAAGGGAGCGUAGACGGUUAUGUAAGUCUGGAGUGAAAGCCCGGGGCUCAACCCCGGAACUGCUUUGGAUACUGUGUAACUGGCGUACAGGAGGGGCAGGCGGAAUGCCUGGUGUAGCGGUGAAAUGCGUAGAUAUCAGGAGGAACACCGGCGGCGAAGGCGGCCGGCUGGACUGAAACUGACGUUGAGGCUCGAAAGCGUGGGGAGCAAACAGGAUUAGAUACCCCAGUAGUC
rnacentral:rRNA from 1 species